UACGGAGGGUGCGAGCGUUAAUCGGACUGACUGGGCGUAAAGGGCAUGUAGGCGGUUAGUUAAGUUAGGUGUGAAAUCCUUGGGCUCAACCUGAGAAUGGCACUUAAAACUGGUUAACUAGAGUUUUGUAGGGGAAGGUAGAAUUCCAUGUGUAGCGGUGAAAUGCGUAGAGAUGUGGAGGAAUACCGGUGGCGAAGGCGGCCUUCUGGACAAAAACUGACGCUGAGAUGCGAAAGCGUGGGUAGCAAAC
rnacentral:rRNA from 1 species